AUUGAACGCUGGCGGCAUGCCUUACACAUGCAAGUCGAACGGUAACAGGUUAAGCUGACGAGUGGCGAACGGGUGAGUAAUGUAUCGGAACGUGCCCAGUCGUGGGGGAUAACUGCUCGAAAGAGCAGCUAAUACCGCAUACGACCUGAGGGUGAAAGCGGGGGAUCGCAAGACCUCGCGCGAUUGGAGCGGCCGAUAUCAGAUUAGGUAGUUGGUGAGGUAAAGGCUCACCAAGCCGACGAUCUGUAGCUGGUCUGAGAGGACGACCAGCCACACUGGGACUGAGACACGGCCCAGACUCCUACGGGAGGCAGCAGUGGGGAAUUUUGGACAAUGGGCGCAAGCCUGAUCCAGCCAUGCCGCGUGCGGGAAGAAGGCCUUCGGGUUGUAAACCGCCUUUGUCAGGGAAGAAAAGGUUCUGGCUAAUACCUGGGACUCAUGACGGUACCUGAAGAAUAAGCACCGGCUAACUACGUG
rnacentral:rRNA from 1 species